AUGACGGUCCCAAGAAUCCCCGCAUUGUAAACAAUACUCCCACAGGCUUUCGUAUCACGUGGGAUUUGCCAGAGAAACAAUCUUGCUACGGACGAGCAGACAUUGUGAUCAUUCUCUCCAGGAAGACCGUAACAGGUGAAGAUUUACUGCAGACGUACUAUACGCCGGGUACCAGUAAUCACUUCGACAUUAUUGGGCUAAACCCGGAGACAGAAUACACACUGGGUCUUAAUAUUCAGACUCCCGGGACACCGGCAGAGCAGACAGACUUUCUAAAUACAAAGACGGCAACAAGCACAGCCGAUGGGCAUGAUGGAUCAAACAGUACUGCAGCUGCAACAACGAAAACAUGGGACCAAACAACAAGCACAGCCGAUGGGCAUGAUGGAUCAAACAGUACUGCAGCUGCAACAACGAAAACAUGGAACCAAAAAGCCGUUUGGUCCGUGAUAGCCAUACUGUUGCCAGUAGCAAUCAACUACUUCUGAACGAUGUCUGCAAGGCACAGACAUCAAUCACCGCUGAUUAUAUGAUGUGCAUUUUGUCAGAUGCAUCGUUUGCUAUGCUGCUUAGCUGCUCAUUUUUGUGGAUAACUUCUUGUCUGCAUAAGUUAACGAAUUAAACCCCCAAUGUAUCAUAACAAUUAAAAGUUCCUGAAAAUGCAUCGAUUCCAAUUAAAUAGUUUGCAGUCAUUUUCACUGAGCACUUAAUAUAUUGUAAUAAUUCUGUUUAUGUUUAUAUUCGUUUAAAUAUGAGUGUUUAAAUUUUGGUCACAAAAAAGU